rnacentral:rRNA from 2 species
ACUAUGCCCAGCCAUAAACCUUGAUACUUUCAUACAAUUAGUAUCCGCCAGGGAACUACGAGCACCAGCUUAAAACCCAAAGGACUUGGCGGUGCCUCAGAUCCCCCUAGAGGAGCCUGUUCUAGAACCGAUAACCCCCGUUAAACCUCACCACUUCUUGCCUAUUCCGCCUAUAUACCACCGUCGCCAGCUUACCCUGUGAAGGGAAAAAAGUAAGCAAAAUGGAAACUUUCCAAAACGUCAGGUCGAGGUGUAGCACACGAAGUGGGAAGAAAUGGGCUACAUUACCUGACACAGGAUAUUCACGGAAAGUCACCUGAAACGGUAAUUCAAAGGUGGAUUUAGCAGUAAAAGAGGAAUAGAGUGCCCCUUUGAAGCCGGCUCUGAGGCGCGCAC